ACACCGCAAAAGUACAAACAAUUCCACAGGAAAUCUUGGAUCUUCUAGACACCAAGCUGCAGAAUCAUGUCUAGCUUAUUAGGCCAAGCACAGAAGAAAACUGAAGAAGCAGUUAAAAAAGGAGAAGAGACAGUCCAGGAUUGUGUUAAUAAAGGCAAAGAAAUUGGUGGACAAGUCAUUGACCAAGGAUGUGAAGCUGCCAAAAACACAUGUGAUCAAGUAACAGGAGAUAUUGGCAAGCAGCUCUCUGGUGGAUGGAAACAAUCAUGACAAAAUCAGCAUAUUAAAAAAGUAAAAAAAAAACAAUACUUAUUUCCAUAACAUGAAAGAAAUAUCUUGUAAUUUUUGAAAUUUAGAAAAUAAA